CAGCACAUCUGUGAGACUGCUGCGGUCCCACCCAGAGGAAAUCACUUCCACUCUGUGUUUUCAAAUUCAAUUAGGAAGUGAUUUCUUCAGGCUGGAAAGCAAGUCAUCCUGGCUG